CUACGGGAGGCAGCAGUGGGGAAUAUUGCACAAUGGGCGAAAGCCUGAUGCAGCAACGCCGCGUGAGCGAAGAAGGUCUUCGGAUCGUAAAGCUCUGUCCUGGGGGAAGAUAAUGACGGUACCCUUGGAGGAAGCCCCGGCUAACUACGUGCCAGCAGCCGC
rnacentral:rRNA from 1 species